GACGAACGCUGGCGGCGUGCUUAACACAUGCAAGUCGAACGGGGCGAAGUGAUAGCUUGCUAUUAUGGAGCCUAGUGGCAAACGGGUGAGUAACGCGUAGGCAACCUGCCCUUCAGAUGGGGACAACACCUCGAAAGGGGUGCUAAUACCGAAUGACGUUUCCUGGUCGCAUGACCUGGGAACCAAAGGCCGGGCAACCGGUCACUGAAGGAUGGGCCUGCGUCUGAUUAGCUAGUUGGUGGGGUAACGGCGUACCAAGGCGACGAUCAGUAGCCGACCUGAGAGGGUGACCGGCACAUUGGGACUGAGACACGGCCCAAACUCCUAC
rnacentral:rRNA from 1 species